rnacentral:lncRNA from 1 species
GAUAGCCUUCUCUGCCUUUCGCACCCUUUUCUUCUCCUCGAUGAGGGCACUCUCAGCCGACUCCAUCUUCUAUUGAUAGUCGGCCUUCAGCUUCUCGAACUCCUUUUCAUUUCUCUGUUGGGCCGUCAGACUUGCCAACUCAGCCUCUAGUAGAGAAAUCUUCUGUCUGCUCUUUCUAUCCCACUCCUCAAUAGCUUGGAGGAGCUCAUCGAAAACUUCGGCCCG